rnacentral:rRNA from 1 species
AAACCAUAGGUGCCCCCGAGGGGAAGAGCGACGCUGCCGGUAAAACGGGACGGCCCGCCGGAGGACCCCAAGCUCUGUUUCUCUAUUUAACUGCGGAGUAAAACCAUAAAUAAAUCAGAACUUUCAACAACGGACCUGUGGGUUCUGGCAUCGAUCAAGAACGCAGCAAAAUGCGAUAAGUAAUGUGAAUUGCAGAAAUCAGUGAAUCAGCGAAUCUUUGAACGCACAUGGGGCCCGCCGGUAUUCUGGCGGGCAUGCCUGUUCGAGCGUCAUUUCAACCCUCAUGCACAGCUGGGUGUUGGGACUCGCGUUAAUUCGCGUUCCCCAAAUUGAUUGGCGGUCACGUCGAGCUUCCAUAGGGUAGUAGUAAAACCCUCGUUACGGGUAAGGGGUCGGAA